ACAGGGAUUGCCCUAGUAACGGCGAGUGAAGCGGCAACAGCUCAAAUUUGAAAUCUGGCGUCUUUGGCGUCCGAGUUGUAAUUUGCAGAGGGCGCUUUGGCAUUGGCAGCGGUCCAAGUUCCUUGGAACAGGACGUCACAGAGGGUGAGAAUCCCGUACGUGGUCGCUAGCCUUUACCGUGUAAAGCCCCUUCGACGAGUCGAGUUGUUUGGGAAUGCAGCUCUAAAUGGGAGGUAAAUUUCUUCUAAAGCUAAAUACUGGCCAGAGACCGAUAGCGCACAAGUAGAGUGAUCGAAAGAUGAAAAGCACUUUGGAAAGAGAGUUAAAAAGCACGUGAAAUUGUUGAAAGGGAAGCGCUUGCAGCCAGACUUGCCUGUAGUUGCUCAUCCGGGUUUUUACCCGGUGCACUCUUCUACGGGCAGGCCAGCAUCAGUUUGGGCGGUUGGAUAAAGGUCUCUGUCACGUACCUCCUCUCGGGGAGAUCUUAUAGGGGAGACGACAUGCAACCAGCCUGGACUGAGGUCCGCGCAUCUGCUAGGAUGCUGGCGUAAUGGCUGUAAGCGGCCCGUCUUGAAACACGGACCAAGGAGUCUAACAUCUAUGCGAGUGUUUGGGUGUCAAGCCCGAGCGCGUAAUGAAAGUGAACGGAGGUGGGAACCUUUCGGGGUGCACCAUCGACCGAUCCUGAUGUCUUCGGAUGGAUUUGAGUAAGAGCAUAGCUGUUGGGACCCGAAAGAUGGUGAACUAUGCUUGAAUAGGGUGAAGCCAGAGGAAACUCUGGUGGAGGCUCGCAGCGGUUCUGACGUGCAAAUCGAUCGUCAAAUUUGGGCAUAGGGGCGAAAGACUAAUCGAACUAUCUAGUAGCUGGUUCCUGCCGAAGUUUCCCUCAGGAUAGCAGUAACGUUUUCAGUUUUAUGAGGUAAAGCGAAUGAUUAGAGGCCUGGGGGUUGAAACAACCUU
rnacentral:rRNA from 1 species